rnacentral:rRNA from 1 species
UACGAAGGGGGCUAGCGUUGCUCGGAAUUACUGGGCGUAAGGGGCGCGUAGGCGGAUAUCUAAGUUGGGGGUGAAAUCCCGGGGCUCAACCUCGGAAUUGCCUUCAAAACUGGAUAUCUUGAGUUCGGGAGAGGUGAGUGGAACUCCGAGUGUAGAGGUGAAAUUCGUAGAUAUUCGGAAGAACACCAGUGGCGAAGGCGACUCACUGGCCCGAUACUGACGCUGAGGCGCGAAAGCGUGGGGAGCAAACAGG